AGGGCGGUGGCCGCACACCCCCACAUCUCAUCCGCCCCUGGUGGGCAGCCUCCCCAAGGGAUUGAUUCCUUCCUCAGCAACAGUUGCUCAGAGUUGAGCACAGGAACUUGCCUUUUUCCAAGUAGCAGACACAGGCCGAGGCACAGAGUGGGGCUGAGGAAAUGUGCCGUGAAUGGAUGGUGAACAGGAAGGGACACUGAAGAAGGAGGCGGUACUGAGAGCAGCCAUCUUGGAGCUUGGAAACGGAGACGCAUGUGAAGCCGUUUGCACAGUAUUUUUCCCUUAAAAUAUGGGUGGGGAACAAGGGGCUGUCAUUUGUCUUUUUCUUUGGGAUGGUGAGCAGUGAGCAGGGCACGCCGCGAGGAGCAAACUGCAGCCCAAGCACACGCGGUCAGCACGCGGAGCACAGGACAAUCAUGCUGGCUGUUAGUGAAGAAUGGCCUGGAGCACUGGGUCUCCGCCCCAGCUGCCUGGGAGAAACUGUGUUGAAGGAGCCAUACCCCCUGGCCUCCCCUCCAGACUCCAGACAACCCCAGUCAGCUGGCUGGGAGGGAGGCAGAAGAGAAACAGGGGUGCACCUGGGGCUCCUGCAGGGGUCCAGCCAGGAGAUGGGGGCAACUUGGACAGGGACGAUCCUGGGAAGGGCAGGAGGAGGAGUGAGACCUGGCCUGCCCUCUCCCUAGAGGCUCAUCAGCUCCCUGGAGACAGACACGCCCUGGUUCCUUUCCCUAUGCCUGGAGCCUGGGUACCAGCUAUUGAAAACUGCUUUUCUCCUUGUUCAUUCAAACAUAUUCACACAUAAAGGUUGUCAUUCCUUUUUGUCACUAUUUGACAAAAAUUGGAUCAUACCGUAUACAAUUCUCUGCUAUUUGUUUUGCUCACCUAACAAUAAAUACACUGUGAAAAAUACCUUCAGAUGAGUAGAUAUCAAUCUUGUUCAUUCUUUUUUUU
rnacentral:lncRNA from 1 species